CACGUAGCCUCCUGUAGUGGAUAUCAGGAGUAUUUUAGAGCCAGAUUCCUUUCAAGAGAUCUGAUCCAGAAUCAGUUGAACGUAACGCUCACACAGACGAUAUGAUGUUGUUUACUGCUGCAGCAGUUAAUUGUUAAAUGAGGCGGUGGCGGCGUGCUAUUGUUCCUGUUCCUGUUUACAUGCGGCGUUCUGACAGCUUCUGAAUCGGGUUGGUGUCCACCACGCUGGAGGAGGUCCUCGUGUCACGCCAUCCUUUAAUGAGAGUCUAUAAACACAGACUGAUCCUAGACCAGCAUCUCCACCACCUCCACAAAGAGAGCGUUCUUCAUCCCGUCAUGCUGACUGCUGUGACCCCCCCCCCUUCACAUGUUCACCCGAAUUAUGUCUGAAUCCUGAAAACAGCUGAAACCAGGUCAGAGUGUUCACAUCCAGACCAGAGUCCAGCUGAGAUCCACUGACCUCCAUCUUCCUCUUCUUCAUCUACAGAGCUCUUAUUCAACGAUCAGCUGUAAUUAAUCUGGAGAAUGAAGCUACUAGAACGACGCCAGAGAAGAUGUCGGGCUGUGAUGGUGAUAGAAUGAGUACGGCUAAAACUAAUGCAGUCAAACACGGCAGCCCAAACCUCAGUGAUUAAAACAAUUAGGUGUACAAAACAUAAGAAUGUGCACGGUGUUUAGCGUCCAAUAAGAACGCCUUUCUUGAUUUCCGUGUGUGAUUUG